GGUCCGAAGUUAGUGAGUUAUCUCAAUUGAUUGUUUACAGUCAGUUACAGAUCGAACUCCUUGUUCUACUCUUUCCCCCCUUCUCACUGCAGCAAUUAAAAAAAAUCUGAA
ensembl:misc_RNA Y_RNA Y RNA